rnacentral:snRNA from 1 species
UGAUGUGAGGGCAAUCUGGCUGCGACGUCUGUCAUCCCAUUGAUCGUUAAGGUUUGUUUCUGCUGAUGUGGCUGGCUAGGCGAAUGUUCCCUUCCUCCCUCACUGCUCCACGUGCGUCCCUCCUGAAGCUGCGUGCUGGGUCUAAGAGGAUGACCUUUCCCACUAGAGGAGGACCUUUCUUCGGUCAAGUGUAUACAAGUAGCUGUGCUCCCCUGCUAGAACCUCCAAACAAGCUCUCAAGAACCUAUUGCGUCAACUUCAGUAACUAACUGAGUCUGUGGCACUACAUUUAGGGUCAAUACUUGUAAGACACAAACA